rnacentral:rRNA from 1 species
UGGGGGAUAUUGCACAAUGGGCGAAAGCCUGAUGCAGCGACGCCGCGUGGGGGAUGAAGGCUUUCGGGUUGUAAACCUCUUUCGCUAUCGAACAAGGCCCGCUUAGGGUGGGUUGAGGGUAGGUGGAGAAGAAGCGCCGGCUAACUACGUGCCAGCAGCCGCGGUAAUACGUAGGGCGCGAGCGUUGUCUGGAAUUACUGGGCGUAAAGGGCUUGUAGGCGGCUUGUUGCGCCUGCUGUGAAAACGCGGGGCUUAACUUCGCGCGUGCAGUGGGUACGGGCAGGCUUGAGUGUGGUAGGGGUGACUGGAGUUCCAGGUGUAGCGGUGGAAUGCGCAGAUAUCUGGAGGAACACCGAUGGCGAAGGCAGGUCACUGGGCCAUUACUGACGCUGAGGAGCGAAAGCAUGGGUAGCGAACAGG